rnacentral:lncRNA from 1 species
UUGGCCCCACUGUGCACCACACACUCCUUUCCCAGCCCAGGGGCACGCGAACAAAAUGAGGCUCAAGCUGACCAGGCCGAGCCGGAGGAACGCUGGGGCUUGGCAGCAGAAGGGAUGGGACCAGAGAGAAGGGUGUGGAGGAGACCCCAGUGAGGGCCAGGACAUUUCAGGUAAAGAGAGGUCAUAUCUCCGUACCUCACUUCCUGACACAAACAAGUUUUCACUGUUGUCAGCAACAAAGCCCUAAUAUAGCUGCGGAAGAGAAAAACUGCAUUGCAUUUUGCCUCCUGCAAGCAUCAUCAACAGUUACUGGAGGAACGUAAUUCCAGAAAGCUUGAAAGCCGUGGUGAUGGUAAUUAUGUAUCAAAUGCCUGGUUCUAUUUCUGUUAUUAUUGUUUUGUCAUUUCUGUUUUCCCAGCGAUCUGACUGAACUCGCAGAGGGACAAAUCCAGUUUUUCUUUUUGACUUUUGUCAAACUAAAUCAGGCCUGAUAGAAAACUCAUUGCUCUCCGGGGAAACAAAGUAGGAGCCACGAAAUGUCAUUUUAACAGAGCGUGGGUUUGGUGACUGUAGGAAAGGAUUUGAGGACGCUCCUUCUGUUCGGCUUCCUAUGUCAUGAGCACAGGCUCCACGCACGCACAGACACCACGGCUCCCGGAUGCUGUGGCUCCCCGAUCGGGGCUCCUGCAGCGCCAGAAGCCCCUCCGGGAUGCUUCGAGGGGCUCCCGGUGGGUGGAGGUACGGACGCCGCUGCGGCCGCCGCCGCCAGUCCUGCUGCUGUUGUUGCUGCUGCAGUCACGUGGGAGCCCCUUUAAGUUUCCAUAGAGAGGCCUCUCUGGUGUCACAUGAUGGACAUGAUAUAAUGAAACAACAUUGUGGAGAGGAAAGCAUUAGGGGAGCCCACGGCUACAAAAACAAGUGAGUGAGAAGAGGUGGGAGGAAGAGAAACUACGCCACCUCCCCUGCAGCCGAGUGCACGCAGCAGCCUGGCGUGACAAGUGGGCGACGCCGGGGGGCAGGGAGCCGGGGUCCUUGGCCCUGGCCGGGGACCCCACCGCCCACCGCGCGGAGGACAACUUUUAGCCGGCAGCCCAGACCAGCGCGGCACCUGUCUCCGGAGUCUCCACCGCUCCUCCCGAUUCAUCCCAGGGAAAUUCUCAAGAAUACGCUCUACAAAUCUACGUGCGCAUCAUUUUCACCUCGCGUCGCGCCCGGGAGGAAGGAACGAGGCAAGGAGCUAAAGCAGCGUGCGUUCAGCCCUGGGGCAUUUUAUUAAUGCUUUUACGAGUUAGAAGAGUUGGGAUAAUUUGCCAUCUGGAGUUUCUCUGCCUUGCUGAUCUGAGCUCAGACCUGCCAAUUUACCAGAGAUAAUUGAUAACACCCUGUAACAGCUGAGAGGAAAAUGGAAGAAACGGAGAUACUUUUAGUGAAGCAGAAUAAACCACUGAACAGUCUGUUUCAUCUUCAUAAAAACGCUGCUUUCAGUGCACUGGAUUUAUUUUACAACCCACUAAUGGAUUACCCUACAGUUUGAAAAACAUUGCGUUAGACCAGUUUGACUGUUGUCAAGAACCAAAAAAGGAAAAAUGAGGAAGCUGUGAGUACCAGUGGAAGGAACGAGCCAGGAAGAGGGACUGGAACCAUCUCAGAAGCCAUGCCCCUCAGGCUGGAACUUGCCCUGUCUCCUCGCAGAUGAGGUAGGAGGCUCAGCACGGGCUGGUGGGAGCAGCCCACAGCAGCAGUGAGGGUCAGUGGGCCUGUGAGUUAAGAAGAAGGUGGCACAGAGCGAGGGUCUCUGGAUCCUGACUGUUUGACUUUUCCAUGAUUAGGAUAAGUAGCCAGGGCUUGGCUAGUUGGAGAGUUACUCGAACCUCAGGUGACAGUUGUAAGGCAGCACAUAGUGAAAAAGAGUCCUAGCCUGGGAAAGUCCAAAACCUUAGGUCUGGUUUCAGUUCACUCACCUAUCUCUGUGACAUAGCAAAGUCUGUUAAUUUCUCUAAUUUUCUGAUUAGUAGUAUAGUUGCAGGAAUGAAAUAAAAAUGGUCCUGAUUACUCAGAGAUUCAUUUACUGAUUACUCUUUUUGUGACCUGAAUAAAGAGUACAACAUCUCUCAAAAGGUAACAAUAUGAUGUUUCAGGAAAUUAGAGAAGUUAAGAGACUUUGCUGUAUUUACUAUACAGAUAGUUGACUGACAGCUGAGCCCGGACCCAAGAUUCAUUUAUAAAAUGAAGGAGUUGAGAAGUACAUACUCUGAGGUUUAUCCUAAAUAAACUGAAGUCUAGGCAAGUGGCUGAGCUAGGUUUGCCAUGAAUCAAUCUGCUGAGUAUAUUUCUUGGUAACUAGUUCAUCUUUCCUUAAUUCAGUCAACAAAUAUGAUAUCAAGUUUAGUAAGAUGAUGACAGUUGUCAUGUAAUACUCCAUCUGGAAGAUUGUAUGCUUCUCAGCUUCCCUAACUUUUCUUAAUCUACCUUAAGCUUCCUUUCUGAAAGGUUUCUGUCUUUCCUAACAGUCUCUUCUUUCCGCCAGCUACCUCUUGUGUUUAAGAAUUAAAGGAAGAUGAGCUAGGAAUCAAGAAAUACGCAGAACUGAUUCCUGUCACUGGCGCCACCCUGCCACUUGCCCAGAGCUGUGGUAUAAAUUUUUUUAAUAGGCUGAAAUAAAAAUAUGAAUAGCAUUUUGGUAUUAAGCAUUAAAUUGAUAAAGGCUAUGAGAUACACCUGCUCUCAACCAUGUUAAUUUUUUAUUAUUGGUAUUAAUAAAUUAUUACUUACUAACAUAUUAACAAGAAUUGCAUUGAGAAACAAAGCAUCCACAGGCCAAAUCUUCUGAAUUUCAAAUGUUUAUAUUAAUGCGUUGUAUUCUAGAAAAGUAGAAUUGUCUUAAGUAGCUUUGUAAUAUAAAGUCAUCUAUCAGCCCAUUACACCUAUUAGAAUGUUUUAACCUUUAUUUCCCACUUUUUUGUUUCUAGACUGAGUGUACUUGGUCUGGUAUUUGUGGCAUAACUUACGGAACACAUAAGAAUGAUACAGAUACUAUUUAAUGAUGACCUAAUACAAGCUUAGAUAGCUAAGGUGAAAGCUUCUAUGGCCUUAACAUUUUCCUCUUGAAGAAUGUAUUUUCUGUAAUAAAAUACAGUGGCUACUUGAAAUCUAUAAACUUAUGUGAGGUCUGGAUAAAUCUGAGCAACUUUCUUCUUUGUGCUCCAGGAACCUACGCACUAUAUAUAUAAAUAAAGCUUAAGUAAACAUCACUGCAA